CGGGGGAUACAUCGUGUUUUGAAAUUAAAGAAGACGACUCUUUUUUCUCCAGGCUAGAGGACGCUGAUUAUGCCGUUUGGAGCGGGAGUUCUUGAACUUCUUUGUGAUAGAGAUAAGUUAUUGGUGUAUGAAUCAUUUGGUCGUAGUUAAUGAAGAUUGUUGGACAUGGAUACGAUGCAGAGAUGAUUACCUCUUGAUUAUUAUAUUUAUAAAUGGUGGAUGUCACUAGGGUAAGUUUCAUUAGCUUCACAAUUGAACUUGAAACCUUAUUUUUAGCAUAGUUCACCCUUGUAAUGAUGCAGAUAAUAUUCGGUUCGAUGAUAUGUCACACGUCGCACUCGUUAGGUAUUUUUGAUUUCAUAUGUUAUAUAUUUAGGGACUCAUAAGCUCAAAAUUAUUUUAUUCAAUAUGGGUAGUGAUAUUGUUACUUAGGUACACGAUUCAAGUUGUAUGUGU